AUGGUUGGUAGCAGUUUUAAUCCUCUCCAGUUUCUCCGUGUAACUGGCACAGUCCUUCCUCAGCACCUCGAUCUCCUUGGCAAUCUCAGGGGUUGUCAUGGAGCUGUUCAAGUCCUUCAGCUCUGGGAAGGCGGCACCGAUCACGGCCCGGGCUGGCACCGGGGCACGGCUGGGGAUGCCAGGGCGGCUCGGGGCUGCCCGGCCAGGCACACUCACUCACCCGCCUCCAUGUGCCGGCAGCUCUGCUGCAGCGCUUGCAGCUGCCCGGAGCGGGCCGCGAUCUCCCCGUCCAGCCCGCGGAGCUCCGCAUCGCUGGCGGCCGGCAGCUGCUCCUGCGGGGAGCGGCGGGUCAGGGCUGCGGGGCACCGGGGCCGGCGGGCGGCGGCCGGGGCUCACUCACCUGAUCGGCGAAGUAAAUCUUCUGCUUGCCGUAGACCUUCUCGCGAACGCGGCCCUGCUGCGCCAGCUGCUCCAGCGCCUUCACCACGGCCUACGGGACGCGGCGUCAGCCGGGCCCGGCCCGGCCUGGCCCGCCCCAGCCCGGCCCGGCCCCGCUCACCGCCUUGCCCAGCCCGUGCUCCCGCUGCAGGUUCCCGAAGGCAUCCUGGGCGCUGUACGGCCGGUUCUGCUCCCGCAGGUACCGCAGCAGCACGGCGGCGGCGCCUCCUGCGGGACCAGCCCCGGUCACCGCGGCCUCCCGGGGCCGCCCGGUGCUCCCCCGCCACUCCCGCACUCACCGCCGGCCGCGGCCUCCCGCCCUUUGCUCAUCGCGCGCCUGCAGCCCCGCUCCGUUCCCGGUUGGCGCCCUUCACGCACUUCCGGCGCGCCGCCCGCUCCCCGCCAAUCGCGGGGCAGGCCGUGAUGGGCGGGGGAACGGGCCCCGCCCGGUACCGGCCCGUGAUGGGCGGGGGAACGGGCCCCACCCGGUACCGGCGCGCCCCCGCGGGAACGGGGCCCGCGCACAGCCCGCGGAGGGCUCAGCACUCCCCGGCCGGAACCGGCGCUCCCUCGCCCCCCUCACCUCCGCACCGGACUCAGCCCGUACCCGUUACCGAGCUCCCGUUCCCAGCUAAGGCCGCCCCCCCGCCCUCAGCCCCGGCACGGCGGACGCAGUGGGAUAAGCAGAAUCAGACAGACACCAGCCGGUAA
rnacentral:lncRNA from 1 species